AACUUCUGAAUGUUGACCUCGGAUCAGGUAGGAUACCC
rnacentral:rRNA from 1 species